rnacentral:rRNA from 1 species
UACGGGGGGGGCAAGCGUUGUUCGGAAUUACUGGGCGUAAAGGGCGCGUAGGCGGCCUUCUAAGUCAGACGUGAAAUCCCCCGGCUUAACCUGGGAACUGCGUCUGAUACUGGGAGGCUUGAGUAUGGGAGAGGGAUGUAGAAUUCCAGGUGUAGCGGUGAAAUGCGUAGAUAUCUGGAGGAAUACCGGUGGCGAAGGCGGCAUCCUGGACCGACAUUGACGCUGAAAACCGAAAGCUAGGGGAGCAAACGGG